rnacentral:rRNA from 1 species
UGAACUAUCUAGUAGCUGGUUCCUGCUAAAGUUUCCCUUAGGAUAGCAGUAACGUAUUUAGUUUUAUAAGGUAAAGCGAAUAAUUAGAGGCCUGGGGGUUGAAAUAACCUUUACCUAUUCUUAAACUUUAAAUAUAUAAGAAGUCCUUGUUACUUAAUUAAACGUGGACACUUAAAUAUACUGUUACUAGUGGGCUAUUUUUAGUAAGCAGAACUGGCGAUGCAGGAUAAACUGAACGCAGGGUUAAGGUGCUAGAAUAUACGCUCAUCAGAUACUAUAAAAGAUGUUAGUUUAUCUAGACAGCAGGACAGUGGCUAUAGAAGUUAGAAUCUGCUAAGAAGUGUGUAACAACUUACCUGCUGAAUAAACUAGCUCUAAAAAUAGAUAGCGCUCAAGCGUAUUACCUAUACCCCGCUGCUAGGGCAGAAUUUAUGCCCUAGCGAGUAGGCAGGUGUGGAGGCUCGUGACGAAGCCUUGGGAGUGACCUUAGGUCGAACAGCCUCUAGUGCAGAUCUUGGUAGUAGUAGCAAAUACUUAAAUAAGAACUUUAAGGACUGAAGUGGGGAAAGGUUCUGUGUAAACAGCAGUUAGACACGGGUUAGUUAAUCCUAAGAGAUAGGGUAGUUCUGUUUUAAUGUUAGCGCUUGCGCUACGCCCUCAAAAAGAAAGCUAGUUAAUAUUCUGGCACCUAGAUAUAGAUUCUCCGCAGCAACGUAACUGAGAGCGGAGACCUUAGCAGGAGCCCUAAGAAGAGUUCUCUUUUCUUCUUAACAGUCUGUUACUCUAAAAUUAGUUUGUCUAGAGCUAGGGUUCAAUAGCCAGAAGAGCGCUGCACUUUUAUGGCGUUUAGUGCGCUCCUGAUGAGCCUUAAAAAUCUGCUUAAAGAAAUAGUUUUUACGCCAGGUCGUACUUAUAACUGCAGCAGGUCUCUAAGGUAAAAAGCCUCUAGUUGAUAGAAUAAUGUAGAUAAGGGAAGUUAGCAAAAUAGAUCUGUAACUUCGGGAAAAGGAUUGGCUCUAAGGGUUAGGUACGUUAGGCCUUGGAGAGAAGCCUCUGGCGUAGAAGGGCACUAGCUGCAAGGUAGGCGCCUUUUAGCGCUGAGGUGCAGGUAUUCUUAGCAGGCUUUAGCUGUUCAGCGUACGUUUAACAACUAACUUAGAACUAGUAUAGAUAAGGGGAAUCUGACUGUCUAAUUAAAAUAUAGCAUUGCAAUAGCUAGAAAGUAGUGUUGACGCAAUAUGAUUUCUGCCUAGUGCUCUAAAUAUCAAAGCGAAGAGAUUUGACCAAGCGUAGGUAAACAGCGGGAGUAACUAUGACUCUCUUAAGGUAGCCAAAUGCCUUAUCAUCUAAUUAGUGACGCGCAUGAAUAGAUUAACGAGAUUCCUACUGUCUCUAUCUACUAUCUAGCGAAACCACAGCUAAGGGAAUAGGCUUGGCUAAAUCAGCAGAGAAAGAAGACUCUGUUGAGCUUAACUCUAGUUUAACAUUAUGAAAAGACAUAGGGGGUAUAGAAUAGGUAGGAGCUUCGGCGCCGGUAAAAUACUACUACUCUUAUCGUUUUUUUACUUAUUUGAUGAAGCAGAGCUAGGCCUUACUGCCUAACUUCUAGCGUUAAGGUUCUUCGUGAGCUGAUCUAGGUUAAAGACAUUGUUAGGUGGGGAGUUUAGCUAGAGCGGCAUAUCUGUUAAACUAUAACGCAGGUGUCCUAAGGGGGACUUAUGGAGAACAGAAAUCUCUAGUAGAGCAAAAGGGCAAAAGUUCUCUUAAUUUUGAUUUUUAGUGUGAAUACAAACUAUAAAAGUGUGGCCUAUCAAUCCUUUAGUCUCUUAAAAUUUAAGGCUAGAGGUGCCAGAAAAGUUACUACAGGGAUAACUAGCUUAUGGCAGCUAAGCGUUCAUAGCGACGUUGCUUUUUAAUCCUUUAAUGUCAGCUCUUCCUAUUAUACUGAAGCAGAAUUCAGUAAGCGUUAGAUUAUUUACCUACUAAUAGGGAACGUGAGCUGGGUUUAGACUGUCGUGAGACAGGUUAGUUUUACCCUACUAAUAACCUUGCCCUAAUAGUAAUACCGCUUAGUAUGAGAGGAACUGCAGUUUCAGAUAAUUAGUUUUUGCGGCUGUCUGACCAGGCAUUGCUGCGAAGCUACUAUCUGCUAGAUUAUAGCUGAACGCCUCUAAGUCAGAAUCUAUGCUAGAACAGGGUGAUUUCCGCCUGCACUAGUCAGAUACGAAUAGGCCUUUGGCUCAGAACCUUACCAGAUCAGCGUUGGCAGUCUCAUUAAAAUUAAGGCUGCUAGCUAGUGUAUUGCAAUUGU